rnacentral:tRNA from 1 species
AAUUAUAUAGUCAAUAAUGAUUUAAAAUUGCAAGUUUUAAGGUAUCUUUAGGUUUAUAAUUU